CUCAUCACAUCCUGGGGCUGAAGUCGGUCCCAAGGGUAUGGCUGUUCGCCAUUUAAAGUGGUACGCGAGCUGGGUUUAGAACGUCGUGAGACAGUUCGGUCCCUAUCUGCCGUGGGCGUUGGAAGAUUGAAGGGGGCUGCUCCUAGUACGAGAGGACCGGAGUGGACGAACCUCUGGUGUUCGGGUUGUCAUGCCAAUGGCAUUGCCCGGUAGCUAAGUUCGGAAUCGAUAACCGCUGAAAGCAUCUAAGCGGGAAGCGAGCCCUGAGAUGAGUCUUCCCUGACCCCUUGAGGGUCCUAAAGGGUUGUUCGAGACUAGAACGUUGAUAGGCAGGGUGUGUAAGCGUUGUGAGGCGUUGAGCUAACCUGUACUAAUUGCCCGUGAGGCUUAACCAUACAACACCCAAAGGGUUUUG
rnacentral:rRNA from 1 species